rnacentral:rRNA from 1 species
ACUGUUGCUGAGAAGUUGAUCAAACUUGGUCAUUUAGAGGAAGUAAAAGUCGUAACAAGGUUUCNGNAGGUGAACCUGCGGAAGGAUCAUUACCGAAUUGUCAACACGAGUUGUUGCUGGUCCUCAGACGAGGGCAUGUGCACGCUCUGUUUACACAUCCACUCACACCUGUGCACCCUCUGUAGUUCUAUGGUCUGAGGGGCUCUGUCCUCUCGCCGUGGCUCUAUGUCUUUACACACGCACUGUAAUAAAGUUUCAUGGAAUGCAUGACGCGUUUAACGCAAUACAAUACAACUUUCAGCAACGGAUCUCUUGGCUCUCGCAUCGAUGAAGAACGCAGCGAAAUGCGAUAAGUAAUGUGAAUUGCAGAAUUCAGUGAAUCAUCGAAUCUUUGAACGCACCUUGCGCCCUUUGGCUAUUCCAGAGGGCAUGCCUGUUUGAGUAUCAUGAACACCUCAACUCUCACGGUUUGCCGUGAUGAGCUUGGACUUUGGAGGUCUUGCCGGCCCGUGGUUGGCUCCUCUCAAAUGAAUCAGCUUGCCAGUGUUUGGUGGCAUCCCAGGUGUGAUAACUAUCUACGCUUGUGGCUUUCCACCAGGUAACCUUCAGCGAUGGAGGUUCGCUGGGGCUCACAAAUGUCUCUCCCAAGUGAGGACGGCUUCUUGAAUGUUUGAUCUCAAAUCAGGUAGGGCUACCCGCUGAACUUAAGCAUAUCAAUAAGCGGAGGAAAAGAAACUAACAAGGAUUCCCCUAGUAACUGCGAGUGAAGCGGGAAGAGCUCAAAUUUAAAAUCUGGCGUCCUCUGGUCGUCCGAGUUGUAGUCUGGAGAAGC